rnacentral:tRNA from 1 species
GGGCCCGUAGCUCAAUUGGUUAGAGUAGAGCGCUCAUAACGCUUUGGUUGGGGGUUCAAGUUGUCCGUCGUCCU